rnacentral:sRNA from 1 species
GGGUGGCCAGCGCCCGCCAGAGGACCAUCAAACUCCAGUCAGUAAACGAUGCAGUCUGAAAAACAUUUAAUAAACUAAAACUUUCAACAACGGAUCUCUUGGUUCUGGCAUCGAUGAAGAACGCAGCGAAAUGCGAUAAGUAAUGUGAAUUGCAGAAUUCAGUGAAUCAUCGAAUCUUUGAACGCACAUUGCGCCCUUUGGUAUUCCGAAGGGCAUGCCUGUUCGAGCGUCAUUACAACCCUCAAGCUCUGCUUGGUAUUGGGCACCGUCCUUUGCGGGCGCGCCUCAAAGACCUCGGCGGUGGCGUCUUGCCUCAAGCGUAGUAGAACAUACAUCUCGCUUCGGAGCGCAGGGCGUCGCCCGCCGGACGAACCUUCUGAACUUUUCUCAAGGUUGACCUCGGAUCAGGUAGGGAUACCCGCUGAACUUAAGC